rnacentral:tRNA from 1 species
UGGGGCGUGGCCAAGUGGUAAGGCAACAAGUUUUGGUCCCUCUAUUCGAAGGUUUGAAACCUUUCGUCCUAG